rnacentral:tRNA from 1 species
UUAAAUUUAAUAUAAAAGAUUAAUUUUUUUAGGCUUCUAACCUAAUAUAAAUGAUUUAUCAUUUAAUCUUUU